UUUUAUGUUAUUUAUUUCUCACAUAUCUUUUUGCAGGUAUUACCAUUGAUGGUUUUCAUCUCCUCCUCUAAAAUGUAUUUUCUUCCAUGGUUGUUAUCUCCUCCUCCAAAAGAUGUACUUUUUCCAAGAUUUUAUUUGAGGCAUCAAGAUUAUG